rnacentral:rRNA from 1 species
UAAUACAGAGGUCUCAAGCGUUGUUCGGAUUCAUUGGGCGUAAAGGGUGUGUAGGUGGCGCGCUAAGUCGGGUGUGAAAUCUCGGGGCUUAACUCCGAAACUGCAUUCGAUACUGGCGUGCUCGAGGACUGGAGAGGAGACUGGAAUUCAUGGUGUAGCAGUGAAAUGCGUAGAGAUCAUGAGGAAGACCAGUGGCGAAGGCGGGUCUCUGGACAGUUCCUGACACUGAGACACGAAGGCCAGGGGAGCAAACGGGAUUAGAUACCCCGGUAGUCCUGGCAGUAAACGGUGCACGUUUGGUGUGGGAGGAUUCGACCCCUUCUGCGCCGGAGCUAACGCGUUAAACGUGCCGCCUGGGGAGUACGGUCGCAAGAUU